AUUGAACGCUGGUGGCGUGCCUAACACAUGCAAGUCGAGCGGUAACAGGUGUAGCAAUACAUGCUGACGAGCGGCGAACGGGUGAGUAAUGCUUCGGAAUCUACCCAAUGGUGGGGAAUAACCAGCCGAAAGGUUGGCUAAUACCGCAUACGUCCCACGGGAGAAAGCAGGGGAUCGCAAGACCUUGCGCCAAUGGAUGAGCCGAAGUCGGAUUAGCUAGUUGGAGGGUAACGGCCUACCAAGGCGACGAUCCGUAGCUGGUCUGAGAGGACGACCAGCCACACUGGGACUGAGACACGGCCCAGACUCCUACGGGAGGCAGCAGUGGGGAAUAUUGGACAAUGGGGGAAACCCUGAUCCAGCGACGCCGCGUGUGUGAAGAAGGCCU
rnacentral:rRNA from 1 species